GACGAACGCUGGCGGCGUGCUUAACACAUGCAAGUCGAACGGAAAGGCCCUGCUUUUGUGGGGUGCUCGAGUGGCGAACGGGUGAGUAACACGUGAGUAACCUGCCCUUGACUUUGGGAUAACUUCAGGAAACUGGGGCUAAUACCGGAUAGGAGCUCCUGCUGCAUGGUGGGGGUUGGAAAGUUUCGGCGGUUGGGGAUGGACUCGCGGCUUAUCAGCUUGUUGGUGGGGUAGUGGCUUACCAAGGCUUUGACGGGUAGCCGGCCUGAGAGGGUGACCGGCCACAUUGGGACUGAGAUACGGCCCAGACUCCUACAGGAGGCAGCAGUGGGGAAUAUUGCACAAUGGGCGGAAGCCUGAUGCAGCAACGCCGCGUGCGGGAUGACGGCCUUCGGGUUGUAAACCGCUUUCGCCUGUGACGAAGCGUGAGUGACGGUAAUGGGUAAAGAAGCACCGGCUAGCUACGUG
rnacentral:rRNA from 1 species